AAUAUCUUGUCAAUGUCUUUUUAUACAUGUAGUUCAUCAUUCCAGCUGGUCUCGGUAUUUGGGCUGGAUACAAAAAGUCGACGAGAGGCUUGGUUGUGGCUCUUGGAACACAUCUCUUGGGUAUCAUCAUUGGGCUGGUUGGAAUGACUAUUACCGGCGUAUUCUUGUCCAUAUUGGCAUCAGAUUGUUACCAGGAUACUAGUCAGUCUAGUCUGCACGGUUCCAACUUUACCGAUAUCGUUAUGACAAGUGAUGAUGAAGAGUGCACUUGUUUUUACGACAGCCAUCCAUACACCUAUCCACUUCCUUGCUCUGAUCUCGCCGUUGUUCGCAAAGCAACAGUUGGAGUUACGAUCGCUUUUGUUAUUAUUACCAUCAUCAGUUUUGUGGGAUCGAUCAACGGCUGCCUUGGAACUUGCUGCGCACCAGAGCAACCAGCAACAGUUGUCGUUACCGCAGGUAACGUCCAACCUGGAGGCCCAAUAUUAAUGGUGGCCACAGCUCCGUGCGAAUUCAUCCAACAACCAGUUCAUGGCGAGUACAAGAAGCUGCCAGUUCAUGGCGAUUCUAUCCAGCAUUCAGUGCCGUCAGGUCAUAUGGAAUACCUAGCUCCCCCCGUGUAGGCAUGAAGUAUUGACCGCGCGAUUUGAUUUAAAAACAUGUUCAGAUUCUGCUAAUGUUGCUGUUCACAUACGACUUAAUACAUAUUAUUUAAUGUAUAUGUGAGUAUACAUUAAUAUGCACAUACUGACAUAAUGCAUAUAUUGAGCUGGAUGCAAGAACUAGAUUUAUGCAGUAGGAUGACACAUCAUUUUUUUAAUAUUGUGUUUACUACUCUCAGUUCCCUUAGGAACAUGCUCAUAUUACUACCGCCUCUUUUUCUGUCGAUUCUCUUUGUUCACGCUCGAUAAAUCUCGCAAAGCGACGCUAAUGUACAAUGUUGUAGCCAAAGUAAAUACUUAGGGAAUUCAACGAAAUAAAACGCGAAGAGGGAACUUGACUAAAUGAAAAGAGAACUUGAAUUACUUGAUCAUUGUAAUACAAAUAAGGAAGUCGAUGCAUGGGUUAUGUACAGUGACAACAUUCCACUUAGCAAUUACGUCAUUACUGCAGUGCAGGAGAAUAGUCACUACUUCCGCAUUUUAUUAAACUUGAAAAGGAAAAAGUGACUUUCAAACAGCGAAAAAC
rnacentral:lncRNA from 1 species